UACGAAGGGGGCGAGCGUUGUUCGGAUUUACUGGGCGUAAAGGGCGCGCAGGCGGCGCAUUUUGUCAGGCGUGAAAGCCCCGGGCUUAACCUGGGAACUGCGUUUGAUACGGAUGGGCUAGAGUUCGGGAGAGGAGAGUGGAAUUCCCAGUGUAGAGGUAAAAUUCGUAGAUAUUGGGAAGAACACCGGUGGCGAAGGCGGCGACCUGGUCCGAUUACUGACGCUGAGGCGCGACAGCGUGGGGAGCAAACAGG
rnacentral:rRNA from 1 species